AGUGAACGCUGGCGGUAUGCCUAACACAUGCAAGUCGAACGACAACACAGUAAGCUCUUUCUUUUACCGGUGGCGAGUGGCGGACGGGUAAGGCAUACAUCGGCAUCUACUUUUUCGUGGGUGAUUACGUAGGGAAACUUCCGCUAAUACCUCAUACGACCUACGGCUUAAAUCAGUAGAUCUUCGCACCUUUCCUGUUUGAAUUAGACGAUGUCGCAUUAGCUAGUUGGCGGGGUAAAGGCCCACCAAGGCGACGAUCCGUAGCUGAUCUGAGAGGAUGAUCAGCCACACUGGAACUGAGACACGGUCCAGACUCCUACGGGAGGCAGCAGUAGGGAAUAUUGGGCAAUGGGCGAAAGCCUGAUGCAGCAACACCGCGUGGGUGAAGAAGGUCUUCGGGUUGUAAAGCCCUGUUAUUGGGGAAGAAAAGAUGCAGGAUAAAAUAUGGAUGUUCUGACGGUACCUAAAGAAUAAGCAACGGCUAACUUCGUG
rnacentral:rRNA from 1 species